CCUACGGGGGGCUGCAGUGGGGAAUAUUGGACAAUGGGGGGAACCCUGAUCCAGCCAUGUCGCGUGUGUGAAGAAGGCCCUCGGGUUGUAAAGCACUUUCAGUGAGGAAGAACGCCUGGUGGUUAAUACCCAUCAGGAAAGACAUCACUCACAGAAGAAGCACCGGCUAACUCCGUGCCAGCAGCCGCGGUAAUACGGAGGGUGCGAGCGUUAAUCGGAAUUACUGGGCGUAAAGCGCGCGUAGGUGGCUUGAUAAGCCGGUUGUGAAAGCCCCGGGCUCAACCUGGGAACGGCAUCCGGAACUGUCAAGCUAGAGUGCAGGAGAGGAAGGUAGAAUUCCCGGUGUAGCAGUGAAAUGCGUAGAGAUCGGGAGGAAUACCAGUGGCGAAGGCGGCCUUCUGGACUGACACUGACACUGAGGUGCGAAAGCGUGGGUAGCAAACAGGAUUAGAUACCCCGGUAGUC
rnacentral:rRNA from 1 species